UACGUAGGUGGCAAGCGUUGUCCGGAAUUAUUGGGCGUAAAGCGCGCGCAGGCGGUCCUUUAAGUCUGAUGUGGAAGCCCACGGCUCAACCGUGGAGGGUCAUUGGAAACUGGGGGACUUGAGUACAGAAGAGAAGAGUGGAAUUCCACGUGUAGCGGUGAAAUGCGUAGAGAUGUGGAGGAACACCAGUGGCGAAGGCGACUCUUUGGUCUGUAACUGACGCUGAGGCGCGAAAGCAUGGGGAGCAAACAGG
rnacentral:rRNA from 1 species